rnacentral:rRNA from 1 species
UAGCGUAGGGGGCAAGCGUUGUCCGGAAUCAUUGGGCGUAAAGAGCGCGUAGGCGGUCCGAUAAGUCGGUUGUGAAAACUGGGGGCUCAACCCUCAGAGGCCGACCAUACUGUCGGGCUAGAGUCCGGAAGAGGCGAGUGGAAUUCCUGGUGUAGCGGUGAAAUGCGCAGAUAUCAGGAGGAACACCAAUGGCGAAGGCAGCUCGCUGGGACGGUACUGACGCUGAGGCGCGAAAGCGUGGGGAGCAAACAGG